rnacentral:rRNA from 1 species
UACGUAGGGGGCAAGCGUUGUCCGGAAUCAUUGGGCGUAAAGCGCGUGUAGGCGGCCCGGUCAGUCCGCCGUGAAAGUCCAGGGCUCAACCCUGGAAUGCCGGUGGAUACUGCCGGGCUGGAGUCCGGAAGAGGCGAGUGGAAUUCCUGGUGUAGCGGUGAAAUGCGCAGAUAUCAGGAGGAACACCAAUGGCGAAGGCAGCUCGCUGGGACGGUACUGACGCUGAGACGCGAAAGCGUGGGGAGCAAACAGG